GUAAUGUAAAGCUCGAUCAUUGAUAGCUCAUGUAAAGAUAGACUCGUAUUUAAGACGUGUGAUUUAUAUUCUGCAAUGUUUGUCAAUAAAAUUUCUCCUAAUGUUGUUACAUACAAUACUCUCUAGUCCGUGACUUUUGAAUUGUGUGAGUGAACAUGAAAAAGCAAUUGGUUUGUUAGAUGAUAUGUUAUUGAAAAACAUCAACCAUACAAAAUAUAUAUAUUCAAUUCCAUCUCAUCUCAGAAACCAAUUGCUUUUUUGGUUCACCCCACAAUGCAGAAGAGGAGGCUUACAGGAUGGUAAGUGACAACAUUUGGAGAAAUUCUUUUCACGAGUAUUUCAGAAUAUAAAUCAUGGGCCUUAGUUACAAGUUUGUCUUUACUUAAACUAUCAAUGAUUGUGCUGUACAUAACUAUAUUGCAAUAUUUUGGAUUCCAUGGUUUUCAUUCCAAGGAGGCGAAACAGGUUCUGGAGUGGGAAAUUGGUAGUUUUGAUGGUCAAAUAGGAACCUAGGGCCGAAACAUCAUUCAUAUGAUGCAUGAUUUGCUCAUGGUGCAAUGAACUAGAGUUUGAAGAGACUAGGAAUUGAAAAUUCAUAAGGAAAUGGGCCAACUUGCCCAUCAACGAACAUUUAUGCCUGAGGGAUACAGGAAAUCACUUGACUGAAGUCUGAACAAUGGAAUGAAUAGAGAUGGAUCUGAGCGCAGUGGAAUUCUGAACCAUCAAGCGAAAAGUAAAACUCAUCUCAGAAAGGGAGAUGUAUCAAAGCAUGAAGUAGUUGGAAAUAAAUGAUUGGCAAAGGGAAAUCACCCGAUUGCCAAGUAAGACGGGGAAAUAGAGGGGAAGGAGAGGAAAAUAGUGAGUGUCAUGAAGGUUCCACAUCUCUUAUACUCUAUUUUAAUUCAAGGGCUGCCUUUGUUACAAUCUUGCACCCUCAGCAUCUCUGUUCUAAAGAAGGUAAGUUGCGCCGUUGAAAUUUAUUUCCCGAACCUUCACCAUAAGCAUUGUGGUUGAAGCAUUAUUUGACUAACUAGCUAUGUUUACAUUACUAAGCUACAGAGUUCUUGUAAGGGGGAACCACAUAGUACUAGACACUCGAGACAAUCUUUCAAAGAAUAAUACUUUUUUCAAAUUAAGCCAAUUCACUCCUUUCCUAUUCAAAGAUCAUCAUUUUGUCAAUGUGUUUUCAUGUUAGAAAAUUCUUUGUAGUUAAAGAGAUGUGAAGUAAACUUCUUACUCCACAGACAAAUAUAUUCUUAUAUCUAUAUGUAAACAUUGAUUUAUCAUGAAUACGCAGAAUUGUUUUUUUUUAAUAUUGUUAAGAUAAUUUAAAAUCAAUUGUUCAUUAUCUAAUAAAUAUUUUCGUUCUAAUAUUCUAUUGAGAGUUAUUAUUUAUCAAUAUUUAUUCCUAUCUAAUAAAGAUAGUGUUAUGGAAUCAAAUGACAAAAAAUGAUUUUUUCCAUAUAAGAUUGUUGUUAUUUACUUCAAUAACAAAUCAUUGUUUUAACUGAAUAACUAA